UACGGGAAACCGGAGCUAAUACCGGAUAAGAUAUCGAACCGCAUGGUUCGAUAGUGAAAGAUGGUUUUGCUAUCACUUAUAGAUGGACCCGCGCCGUAUUAGCUAGUUGGUGAGGUAACGGCUCACCAAGGCAACGAUACGUAGCCGACCUGAGAGGGUGAUCGGCCACACUGGAACUGAGACACGGUCCAGACUCCUACGGGAGGCAGCAGUA
rnacentral:rRNA from 1 species